GCCCCGUUCGUUCAACGGUUAGGACAUCAGAUUUUCACUCUGGAAACAGGGGUUCGAUUCCCCUACGGGGUACCA
rnacentral:tRNA from 3 species